UGAUACCAUCAUUGGCGUUGGACAUGCAAAUCGUGGGGAGGGAGAGUUUUUGGGAAUGUACCCCGGAUAAACAACGGUAUCAUUGGGUUUUUGGAGGUUAAAAAAUCUCUGACACUACUACACUAGCCGAGAUCAUCGGGGAGCAGUGAGUGUGAGGCACGUUGAGCUUCAACAAAUCGACAACAGAUGGCGCUGCGAACGCCCAAGUGAUUUCUAACCUAACUACUCUCGGAGGGACAGCGAAUGACCCCAUCACUAGUCUUCUCUCAAAAGGAUAUCAUUGGUGGAAUUUCAAGGAUUUUCCUCUUCAAAGAUGAGGUUAUGGCUUCACCAAUUGAAAAAAUCCUGACUCAUUCUGGAGAGGAUGUGGUUAAUACCGCGGGAGAAUAAAGG